UGUAUCGGAAGCCUGACGAGGAUGAGAACCUCCGGGGGCAAGAGGUUCGACCCGAGCGAAGCGAGAAAACGUUGCGUCAGCAACGGCCCGCAGGGCGAGUCAUCCUCUAUCACCGGCAG
rnacentral:sRNA from 1 species